rnacentral:lncRNA from 1 species
AGUACCUUUAGUUGCAACACAAAUCGAUUCUCUUAAACAUCUUGACUCUGAACAAAUAUAUUUUCAAGUAAAUUGAGCUAUAAAGGGUUGUUGCGAGAACCGAUCGAGCGGCGAGCUCUUUCAGCCCUUUUUCAAUGGACGAUUUGUGAAUGAAACAUUAACUACAGAGAAAAUGAUUAUCAGUUGAGUCCCAAGAGAAGAGAGGCUGGAAAUGGAUAAUGAAUUUGUGUCGGUAAAGAAUUCAAGAGUCAUGUCAUUGGAAAGAACGGGAGCGGGUUAAAUACCAUAAGACAGAGAUCCGAAGCAAAACUUGUAUCACGAUAUAGAGAAGAGGAAGGAUUCAUUGUUAGUGGAGAUGACCAUCAGAGAGAAACUGCUGAAAGGCUUUUUUUGGAAAAAGUGGAGGAAAUAGAGAUGACUAAGUGGGAGGAAGUGGAGAUUCUAACCGAAUACAAAGGUUUGGUGAUUGGAACGCACGGAGUUAAUUUUCUCAAGAUAAGCUAAGAAACAGGAGCAGUAGUAACCCGUAAAAGAAGAGAAGAAUCAAGUUGUAAUGAUAGCAGUGCUUGCGAGUUGAGACUGAAAGAAGAUGCUAUGUAAUCUCUGAGCAGGAUCAAAACGAAAAAGGGGUCGCAGGCGGACACGUGGUUUCAUUUUGGAAAAGUAAUUAUUUGCGGACCUGAUGAAGGUAAAGUUACUGAUUAUGAUCUGUAGCAGGAGACUCUUACAGUUUUCUUUUUGAAGGUAUUAGUUGACUCUUCGUUUUUUAAAGUACAAAAACAAUUGUCAUAAAAUCAAAUCUCCUAGCUUUGGUGAUCACUUAUCUAAAUGAUAAUAAGCAAGAUUAAUGAUCAAAAUAUACUGGAGACUCACAGGUAGCAUUCUAAUAGAUAAGAACUGAAGUUGGCUCCGGCUAAACCUGCAGUACAUGUGGUACUGACGUGAAACACUUGAUUGCUUACAGAGGAGGUUUCAGGUGAAGAACAAUGGAGCGUUGAACAAGCAACAAAAAAAUUACAACCUCAGGAAGGACAGGAUUACUGAAAAAUCGCAUUUAAAGACAUGGGUACUGAACAAGGACUCUGACAAUGCGGUCAAAGAGAAAGCAGUCCCAUUUUGUGACGUCAGAAACAUAAUCGAAGAAGUUCACUUCGAAGAUGAAAAAACACGCUUGCAGUGUCGAGGAUAGGUGGUUCUUCCAUCCCGUAGGUUUCUACAGGCUGAAAUUUUGUUUCCUGGAAGCGAGCUUGACUGCAGAAUAACUUUACGAGAACGAAGUGAUCUAGACGAAAACGAAAGACGAGCUCUGUUGUCAUAUCUGCCCAACAUAAGUUUUACGUUCACUGAAGGCGAUGCAGUGAAUGGACCAAAUCUCCCUGCCGAGGAAUCUUUGUCGAUGGAGUUAUUUCUACGUCACAGACGAUGUUCUCAUCGAACUUUAUUUGCACCAAAAGCUGGAGUUUUAGUUAUCCUUUCUAGAGAUAUAUCGUUUUCCAGCGAUAUAGAGGAAGAACAGAAAAGAGGGAUGGUAUUAAAACUAUGAUCAUCAUCACUAUCGUGAAUAACAUCCUCGCGAAUUGAAUUAGACGCCCACAGUACUGUAAUGAAAUAAAUACCCGCCCUCAUGAGUUACCUGAAAAAAACAAUACAAUAUUUAAUCGUAAUAUCCAUUUUGUUACUAGUGGCCAAUCACGAAGAGUUUCGAUUUUCCGUGUUUUGUUGAAAAAAAUAAAUAAAUAGACAAAUAAAUAUCUACUUUUCAGCAUGUGAAGCUAUCUACUAAUGAACCGUCUAUUUUUCUUUUGCAGAUUGAUCUGCAUCUACAUUGCAAAGACUAGGACGAACAAUUAAAGUACGAAAAUUGGAAGCCUGAAGACAUCGUUGCAAAGUUACCUGAGUUUCUUCGAUUUGUUAAACGAUUUCAGAGUGUUAUUUGAAGUGAACUGCGCCACAGCAAUGUAGACGCUUGAAAACUUAAUUAGCUUUUUUAUAGGUGAUACGAUGUAUCCGACCACAAAUUUUUGUUUGUUUUGCGAAAAAAUCUGUCACCAGUUCCUUGAGACAAGUCCGCUCGGUAAUUUUUAGAUCUACUAAAUUUUUGUCAAGGUUUACCAAACUUCAA